rnacentral:rRNA from 1 species
AUACGGAGGGUGCAAGCGUUACUCGGAAUCACUGGGCGUAAAGCGCGCGCAGGCGGCUAUUUAAGUUGGAUGUGAAAGCCUACGGCUCAACCGUAGAACUGCAUCCAAAACUAUUUAGCUAGAGUGUGGGAGAGGAAGAUGGAAUUAGUUGUGUAGGGGUAAAAUCCGUAGAGAUAACUAGGAAUACCAAAAGCGAAGGCAAUCUUCUGGAACACUACUGACGCUGAGGCGCGAAAGCGUGGGGAGCAAACGGGAUUAGAUACCCUUGUAGUCC